rnacentral:pre_miRNA from 1 species
AAAGUACUCCCUCCGUCCCAAAAUUCUUGUCUUAGAUUUUUCUAGAUACAGAUGUAUCAAGUCACAUUUUAGUAUUAGAUACAUCUGUAUCUAGACAAAUCUAAGACAAGAAAUUUGGGACAGAGGGAGUAGUUG